rnacentral:misc_RNA from 1 species
GCAAACUUGGUCAUUUAGAGGAAGUAAAAGUCGUAACAAGGUUUCCGUAGGUGAACCUGCGGAAGGAUCAUUAAAAAAUUUGAUUAUUUAAGCAAAUAAUCUAUAUGGAUAAAAUAAUCCAUAUCCAUUUUAUGUGCAUCUAUUGAUUUGUAUACUUUGACAGAUUUUUUUUUAUUUUAAAAUAGAGAUUAAAAUUAAAAUAUUUUUUAGUUUGAUCUCUAAAAUCUGUCAGAGUUUUUUUUUUCCCCAAACAUUUUAAAAUUUUAAUUAUACUUGAAUUUUUCAUUAUUACAAAAUCAAAUACAACUUUCAACAACGGAUCUCUUGGCUCUUGCAUCGAUGAAGAACGCAGC